UAGGGAAUCUUCGGCAAUGGGGGGAACCCUGACCGAGCAACGCCGCGUGAGUGAAGAAGGUUUUCGGAUCGUAAAGCUCUGUUGUUAAGGAAGAACGAGUGUGAGAAUGGAAAGUUCAUACUGUGACGGUACUUAACCAGAAAGGGACGGCUAACUACGUGCCAGCAGCCGCGGUAAUACGUAGGUCCCGAGCGUUGUCCGGAUUUAUUGGGCGUAAAGCGAGCGCAGGCGGUUAGAUAAGUCUGAAGUUAAAGGCAGUGGCUCAACCAUUGUAGGCUUUGGAAACUGUUUAACUUGAGUGCAGAAGGGGGGAGUGGAAAUCCAUGUGUAGCGGUGAAAUGCGUAGAUAUAUGGAGGAACACCGGUGGCGAAAGCGGCUCUCUGGUCUGUAACUGACGCUGAGGCUCGAAAGCGUGGGGAGCGAACAGG
rnacentral:rRNA from 1 species